rnacentral:rRNA from 1 species
AUGCCUCACCUACGCCCGUCCCCGACAUCUCCAGCUACACCACCAAGGCUCAGGAAGUGCUCGAGGUCAUCCACGAUGCGCCCCCCUGCUUGCAUCGCGAUGGCGCACAUCACCUGUUCGACGGAUGGCUCGAACCAAGUUGUCGCCACCAACAGCGUCAACAAGGUCACCACCAUCUACCCCGAGCCCUUCAUCGACCUCAGCGACAAGAAUGUGGAGCAGCUCGCUGGCUCAGCCAUGAGUGCCGAGUCCCUCGUUGUGGUGACCGCCACGGUGGUGUCUUCCAACCCGGGCAAGUACGCAGCGGUGGAGGCCCCUCCCGAUGUCCUCACCACACCUGCAGUACCUACAAGCGUUUCCUCAUCCACCACAAAGGCCAAGGAGGUUUUCGAGUUUGCUUAUGAUGUGCCCUUGGACUUCGUCGCCAAGAUAUUCGUGAGUUACUCGACGGAUUGUUCGAACCGAGUCGUCGCCACAUCAUCGUUCCGGGACCAUGAUCUGGAUGUCUCGUUGCCCACAAGGCACCAAGGACUUUUGAGGCGGCCGGCACCAUGGCCGUCAUUUCUGGCAGAUCAUAUGGCUGAGGGGAAUGAGAAUCGACCAACUCCAUGGUCAUCAUUUCAAAUCGGCGUGCCAUCAGAGGACAAGGAUGAUUCAUCUUUUAGUGAGAAGUUAUUUCAUGAAGAUCAUCAGCUGGACAUCACCGACUUGCAGAAUGUUGAAUUUAUCGGCUGGUGGUCCCUAAUUGGUCUCCAUUCAGAUUAUCUGCUCCCGUACGAUAUGGAUCUGUUGGGAUUUGACAUGGGCAUGGACCAGCUUGACAUGUCUUGGGAUCCUAGAGGCCUUAGAUUGUUGUUGCUAAGGAAAUUGACUCGACGGGAGGUGUUUCAAAAAGGGAGGUGCGCCAUCUUGGUUGCCCGCUGUCUUGUCACCUUCCCAGCUUCUACUUUUCGGUCGUCGACAAUUAUGAUGGUGGAGCUGAUUAGCCAGAGAUCCCAUGCCACGGGUGGUAUAGUACCCUUUACCGGCUCCGAUCAACAACGUUCUCAAGGAGGGAGGGGUGUCAUCGCUAUUGCUGCCUGCUUCGCACAAGGCUCCGUCGACUUCAAGUACUCCAGCGGCUUCAACAAUGACUACUUCCUCGACAGUUCCUUCGGCUGGGCCGCCAUCGUCCAUGACUACUACUCCCAUGUCGUUCAAGGCACCCCCGCCUUCUGCUACCACCGCGACUUUGAGCAAGUCAACGACCAUCGAGUGCAAUGGGACCCGGGCAGUUCUUGGUGGUGCCGGCUUGGGGUCAAGCCGGAUUUUAAGGAGGGAGGGAUGUUAGGAGCCCUCCUAACCUGACAAAACCUGUUUGAGCACUUCAGCGCGGUGGCACAGCGGCUGGGCGUCUACACCGCCUUGGACUACGCCGACAUCCUCGAGUUCCUGGUCAAGAGGUGGAACGUCGCCGGCCUCACCAGGCACCUGGUAGCGGCGGCUGAUAGCGUCGGCCCAAUGGGUAAUGGGAAGCCGACGGUCAAGGUGAUGGACGUGCUUCACCUGGAGGAGAUUCCUGCAAAACCCAUCAUGAAGCGGAUGGGCGACGCGAGCGCGGAAGGUUUCAAACACAUGUCGGCUGGCCUCAAGGCAUUGCUCGCCAACCGGGCGCCAUUCGGGGAGCAGAGGAAUGGUUUAGGUUUUGAGGACUGUCAGGGAAAUACGCUUGCAGGAGUGCUGUGUGGGAAAGGAGAAACUGAAUUUAUUGCAAAUGGGGGUGCAGAUCAUGCAAUUGGAGGUCAAAGUGCCCCGGAGAAGCGAAGAGAGUCUCAAACAAUUUCACUAAAGUUGGACUAUACAUUGCUCUUCCCAAACAAUUUCGCUAAAGUUGGACUAUACAUUGCUCUAGAUCGAUCAAGUACGGACGAUCGACCUAUGGCGUCUUCGGCUCCGCGUUGGUCGGAGACCCCGGAAGACAUCCUCGGCCUCGUCAUCGACCGCCUUGGCUCCGGCGCCCCAGCUGACCACCACUGGACACGCCGCCUCUCUGUCUCCGCAGUGUGGUCUCAGAUCCUAGUUCUACGGCGUGCCCUCUCUUUCGCCGAUGACUGUGGUGCCUUCCAGGCGGUGUGCCGUGUCCGGCAGUCGUCGGUCUCUGCCGACCGUGCCCGCUUCCGCGCGGUGUGCCGUUCGUGGCACCUGGCCAUGCGCAGCCACGUCACGGCGCCGCGGCUGCUGCCGUGGAUUGUCUUGUCAGAUGGUUCCUUCUCUGUACCCUUCGACGACGGUGGCUGCCGCGGCUCGCGCUGCCAUAUCCCUACUUUGCCCAAGAACGCAAGAUGCAUCGGCUUCACAGACGACUGGCUUACCCUUGACUGCACCGACGUUGAGAACGUACAUAGUUACUUCUUGCACAACCCUUUCUCCGACACGACUAUGCCGCUCCCUGAGCUAAGCGCCAUCAUCGGUGUCGUCUCUGAACUUUUCGAGGUCCGCGAGGUGCUCAUGCGGUCAGGCCCUCAUGAUGUUGUCGCUUUCCUGACCAAUAAUUGCAAUUAUCCCCUCAUCUUGGUCCGGCCAGGGAAGGGCCGAGGACCUCGCUCUCUCGGUAUCAACUUUGAUGAUGAUGGUGUGCCUUGCAUCUCCGGUAUCGAGCGACUCAUCAGGCACCCACCCAUGCACAGUUACCGUUUCCAUGUAUGGAUGGAUGACGACAAUCAUGAAGACAAUUUUGAGGCCACAAACAAUGGGGGUGAUAAGCACGAGGUCCAUAAGGAUUAUAAGUACGAUGAUGAGACAAUGACUGAAGAGGAAUACGAGAAGGAUUGCGCCUUAGAUGAACUUAGGGAGAGAACUGGCGACGACAUGAUUCUCGACGGUACAACCUACCUGAGAUACUAUGACGCACCAGAUGAUUUUGUCUCCGUCAUUUGCCACUUGGUCGAGUCGCAUGGGAAGUUACUCAUGGUGAGAAGACAACUACAAUGGCCCUUGCACAACAUCAAAUUCACUCGCAAGGUGGAGGUUUUUGAAGCGAAUGCCGGCAAAGGAGUCUGGAUGCCGCUUACCGAUGGCCUGGGUGAUCAAGCGCUUUUCAUUAGCAGACCCUUCUGCAAGUCUAUUCAUGCCUAUGGAGAUGUGGAACGUGAUACUAUCUAUUUUAUCGACACAGGCGAGAUGCUCAAUAUGAAAUCCCAAACUAUGAGCCCAUCAAAUAGGAACAUCAACCACCGACAGUCAAUGUGGAUGUUUUCUGCGGAUCUUGUGGUUUAA